CCUACGGGGGGCAGCAGUGAGGAAUAUUGGUCAAUGGGCGCGAGCCUGAACCAGCCAAGUAGCGUGAAGGAUGACUGCCCUACGGGUUGUAAACUUCUUUUAUAAAGGAAUAAAGUGAGGCACGUGUGGCCAGACGAGAGUACCGUACGAAUAAGCAUCGGCUAACUACGUGCCAGCAGCCGCGGUAAUACGGGGGAUGCAAGCGUUAUCCGGAUUUAUUGGGUUUAAAGGGUGCGUAGGCUGUGAGGUAAGUCAGCGGUGAAAUGCCCCCGCUCAACGGGGUGAAGUGCCAUUGAUACUGGCUUGCUGGAAUGCGGAUGCCGUGGGAGGAAUGUGUGGUGUAGCGGUGAAAUGCAUAGAUAUCACACAGAACAGCGAUUGCGAAGGCAUCUCACGAAUCCGCGAUUGACGCUGAUGCACGAAAGCGUGGGUAUCAAACAGGAUUAGAUACCCCAGUAGUC
rnacentral:rRNA from 1 species